AUUGAACGCUGGCGGUAUGCUUAACACAUGCAAGUCGAACGGUAACAGGCCUUCGGGCGCUGACGAGUGGCGGACGGUGAGUAACGCGUAGGAAUCUGCCUCAUAGUGGGGACAACGUGGGGAAACUCACGCUAAUACCGCAUACGCCCUACGGGGGAAAGCGGGGGAUCUUCGGACCUCGCGCUAUGAGAUGAGCCUGCGUUAGAUUAGCUAGUUGGUAGGGUAAAGGCCUACCAAGGCGACGAUCUAUAGCUGGUCUGAGAGGACGAUCAGCCACACUGGGGACUGAGACACGGCCCAGACUCCUACGGGAGGCAGCAGUGGGGAAUAUUGGACAAUGGGCGCAAGCCUGAUCCAGCAUACCGCGUGUGUGAAGAAGGCCUUAGGGUUGUAAAGCACUUUCAAUUGGGAGGAAAACCUGCCGGUCAAUACCCGGCAGCUUGACAUUACCUUUAGAAGAAGCACCGGCUAACUCCGUGCCAGCAGCCGCGGUAAU
rnacentral:rRNA from 1 species